rnacentral:rRNA from 1 species
UACGGGGGGGGCAAGCGUUGUUCGGAAUUACUGGGCGUAAAGGGCUCGUAGGCGGCCAACUAAGUCGGAUGUGAAAUCCCCAGGCUUAACCUGGGAACUGCAUCCGAUACUGGAUGGCUUGAAUCCGGGAGAGGGAUGCAGAAUUCCAGGUGUAGCGGUGAAAUGCGUAGAUAUCUGGAGGAAUACCGGUGGCGAAGGCGGCAUCCUGGACCGGCAUUGACGCUGAGUGAGCGAAAGCUAGGGGAGCAAACGGGG